AUUGAACGCUGGCGGCAGGCUUAACACAUGCAAGUCGAACGAUGACUAACUAGCUUGCUAGUUAUGAUUAGUGGCGGACGGGUGAGUAACAUUUAGGAAUCUGCCUAGUAGUGGGGGAUAGCUCGGGGAAACUCGAAUUAAUACCGCAUACGACCUACGGGUGAAAGGGGGCGCAAGCUCUUGCUAUUAGAUGAGCCUAAAUCAGAUUAGCUAGUUGGUGGGGUAAAGGCCUACCAAGGCGACGAUCUGUAACUGGUCUGAGAGGAUGAUCAGUCACACCGGAACUGAGACACGGUCCGGACUCCUACGGGAGGCAGCAGUGGGGAAUAUUGGACAAUGGGGGCAACCCUGAUCCAGCCAUGCCGCGUGUGUGAAGAAGGCCUUUUGGUUGUAAAGCACUUUAAGCAGGGAGGAGAGGCUAAUGGUUAAUACCCAUUAGAUUAGACGUUACCUGCAGAAUAAGCACCGGCUAACUCUGUGCCAGCAGCCGCGGUAAUACAGAGGGUGCGAGCGUUAAUCGGAAUUACUGGGCGUAAAGCGAGUGUAGGUGGCUCAUUAAGUCACAUGUGAAAUCCCCGGGCUUAACCUGGGAACUGCAUGUGAUACUGGUGGUGCUAGAAUAUGUGAGAGGGAAGUAGAAUUCCAGGUGUAGCGGUGAAAUGCGUAGAGAUCUGGAGGAAUACCGAUGGCGAAGGCAGCUUCCUGGCAUAAUAUUGACACUGAGAUUCGAAAGCGUGGGUAGCAAACAGGAUUAGAUACCCUGGUAGUCCACGCCGUAAACGAUGUCUACUAGCCGUUGGGGUCCUUGAGACUUUAGUGGCGCAGUUAACGCGAUAAGUAGACCGCCUGGGGAGUACGGCCGCAAGGUUAAAACUCAAAUGAAUUGACGGGGGCCCGCACAAGCGGUGGAGCAUGUGGUUUAACUCGAUGCAACGCGAAGAACCUUACCUGGUCUUGACAUAGUGAGAAUCUCUCAGAGAUGAGAGAGUGCCUUCGGGAACUCACAUACAGGUGCUGCAUGGCUGUCGUCAGCUCGUGUCGUGAGAUGUUGGGUUAAGUCCCGCAACGAGCGCAACCCUUUUCCUUAUUUGCCAGCGGGUUAAGCCGGGAACUUUAAGGAUACUGCCAGUGACAAACUGGAGGAAGGCGGGGACGACGUCAAGUCAUCAUGGCCCUUACGACCAGGGCUACACACGUGCUACAAUGGUAGGUACAGAGGGUUGCUACACAGCGAUGUGAUGCUAAUCUCAAAAAGCCUAUCGUAGUCCGGAUUGGAGUCUGCAACUCGACUCCAUGAAGUCGGAAUCGCUAGUAAUCGCAGAUCAGAAUGCUGCGGUGAAUACGUUCCCGGGCCU
rnacentral:rRNA from 1 species